rnacentral:rRNA from 1 species
GGACCAGACUCCUACGGGAGGCAGCAGUCGAGAAUCAUUCACAAUGGGGGAAACCCUGAUGGUGCGACGCCGCGUGGGGGAAUGAAGGUCUUCGGAUUGUAAACCCCUGUCAUGUGGGAGCAAAUUAAAAAGAUAGUACCACAAGAGGAAGAGACGGCUAACUCUGUGCCAGCAGCCGCGGUAAUACGGGGGGUGCAAGCGUUGUCCGGAAUCAUUGGGCGUAAAGAGUUCGUAGGCGGCACGUAAAGUCUGGUGUUAAAGGCAGAGGCUCAACUUCUGUACGGCACUGGAUACUUGCGAGCUAGAAUGCGGUAGAGGUAAAGGGAAUUCCUGGUGUAGCGGUGAAAUGCUUAGAUAUCAGGAGGAACAUCGGUGGCGUAAGCGCUUUACUGGGCCGUAAUUGACGCUGAGGAACGAAAGCCAGGGUAGCAAAUGGGAUUAGAUACCCCGGUA